UGGGGAAUAUUGGACAAUGGGGGAAACCCUGAUCCAGCCAUGCCGCGUGAGUGAUGAAGGCCCUAGGGUUGUAAAGCUCUUUCGGCGGGGACGAUAAUGACGGUACCCGCAGAAGAAGCCCCGGCUAACUUCGUGCCAGCAGCCGCGGUAAUACGAAGGGGGCAAGCGUUGCUCGGAAUCACUGGGCGUAAAGGGCGCGUAGGCGGGCGUCUAAGUCAGGGGUGAAAUCCCGAGGCUCAACCUCGGAAUUGCCUUUGAUACUGGAUGUCUAGAGACCGGAAGAGGUGAGUGGAACUGCGAGUGUAGAGGUGAAAUUCGUAGAUAUUCGCAAGAACACCAGUGGCGAAGGCGGCUCACUGGUCCGGUUCUGACGCUGAGGCGCGAAAGCGUGGGGAGCAAACAGGAUUAGAUACCCCCGUAGUCC
rnacentral:rRNA from 1 species